rnacentral:rRNA from 1 species
UGGUGGUUUGAAUUGUCUGGUUGAUUCCGUUAACGAACGAGACCUCGACCUGCUCACUAGUCCGGUCCAUUCUUGUUUGUUUACGUGAAUGGGUUCCGGUUACUUCUUAGAGGGACUAUCGGUGUGUAGCCGAUGGAAGUUCGAGGCAAUAACA